rnacentral:misc_RNA from 1 species
UUUCUUGACCUGGGUCAGUAUUCCCCCAGGCCCUGUCACGCCUGCUCUUCAGCCAUUGACCCAGAUCAAUUUUCCCGCCGCCAGCGCUGAUAACGUGAAGCCAUCCCAGACAGACAGGCACAACAGGAGGCAGCCAUGUUCGUCGAUACAGUGGUUCUCGCCGGACUCGGCACCGUACUUCUGAUGAUCGCGUUUUGUGGGGGCGUUGGUUACUUCAUCUGGAAGGAUGCGCACAAGCGCAAGCAGAGCUGAUCCUUCCGGUUCACAGGGCACGCAAGGCAAUUCGGGCGACUUCGGUCGCCCUUU